UAGUGGCGAACGGGUGAGGAACACGUGGGCAAUUGCCCUUCACUCUGGGACAAGCCCUGGAAACGGGGUCUAAUACCGGAUAACACUCUGUCCUGCAUGGGACGGGGUUAAAAGCUCCGGCGGUGAAGGAUGAGCCCGCGGCCUAUCAGCUAGUUGGUGGGGUAAUGGCCUACCAAGGCGACGACGGGUAGCCGGCCUGAGAGGGCGACCGGCCACACUGGGACUGAGACACGGCCCAGACUCCUACGGGAGGCAGCAGUGGGGAAUAUUGCACAAUGGGCGAAAGCCUGAUGCAGCGACGCCGCGUGAGGGAUGACGGCCUUCGGGUUGUAAACCUCUUUCAGCAGGGAAGAAGCGCAAGUGACGGUACCUGCAGAAGAAGCACCGGCUAACUACGUGCCAGCAGCCGCGGUAAUACGUAGGGUGCGAGCGUUGUCCGGAAUUAUUGGGCGUAAAGAGCUCGUAGGCGGCUUGUCACGUCGGAUGUGAAAGCUCGGGGCUUAACCCCGAGUCUGCAUUCGAUACGGGCUAGCUAGAGUGUGGUAGGGGAGAUCGGAAUUCCUGGUGUAGCGGUGAAAUGCGCAGAUAUCAGGAGGAACACCGGUGGCGAAGGCGGAUCUCUGGGCCAUUACUGACGCUGAGGAGCGAAAGCGUGGGGAGCGAACAGGAUUAGAUACCCUGGUAGUCCACGCCGUAAACGUUGGGAACUAGGUGUUGGCGACAUUCCACGUCGUCGGUGCCGCAGCUAACGCAUUAAGUUCCCCCGCCUGGGGAGG
rnacentral:rRNA from 1 species